GUAGACAAUGUCUUUUGCCCUUUUACAUUCAUUCUUCAACAAUCUUUCUCUCUCCAUUACAAGCGCCGAUUCUUCAACCGCUUUCUUCUCCAUCACAGUUGUCUUGGAUUCCACCGGUGAAAAAGCACCCAUUUUGAAUUGGCCUAUCAAAGUUAAGGUUGUUGUUGGUGCAGCUCGCGCAAUAGCUUACCUACAUGAAGACGGCUCGACCUCUAUUGAUUGAAGCACUUGAUACUGAGGACUUUGAAACUUUGGUGGAUCCAAGACUGGAAAAGGCCUACAACAGAAACGAAAUAUUUAGAAUGAUUGCAGCUGCUACAGCCUGCAUGCGUCAUUCCUCGGUUAAGAGGCCACGAAUGAGUCUGGGAACUUGCAUCACAUGUUGUUGCCAUACCCUUGGAACAAGUUGUAGUCCGGUGUUCGAAUAAGAGGAAGAAUAAUAGCACGUAAAUUUUGAUCAUUGGAUGAAUUUACAACAUGAGUAGUAACAACAUCUUGAAUGAUUUUUUCAGGUGCAUGAGUUAAGAGAUGUCCCAGUUCCUUAAGAUUCAUGAUGAGUCAUAGCAAAACGGUUUUGAUCAUAAUCAGAAAAGGGAAAAGCAGGACCAUUUUGAUUUUGAUCAUUGACAGUAAAGGCUUGAUCUUGAAUGGGCAUAGGAUCAAUAUGGUUUUCAACAAGAUGAUUAUUUUGAAAACAUGCAGCAAGGUGAGGGCAACAGUGAAAAUUUCUGUUGCAUGAAUCAUAAUUUCAUUGGUUUAUUCAUAAAACUUUCGGCAACUCAUUAAACA